AUUGAACGCUGGCGGCAUGCCUUACACAUGCAAGUCGAACGGUAACAGGUUAAGCUGACGAGUGGCGAACGGGUGAGUAAUGUAUCGGAACGUGCCCAGUCGUGGGGGAUAACUGCUCGAAAGAGCAGCUAAUACCGCAUACGACCUGAGGGUGAAAGCGGGGGAUCGCAAGACCUCGCGCGAUUGGAGCGGCCGAUAUCAGAUUAGGUAGUUGGUGGGGUAAAGGCCUACCAAGCCUACGAUCUGUAGCUGGUCUGAGAGGACGACCAGCCACACUGGGACUGAGACACGGCCCAGACUCCUGCGGGAGGCAGCAGUGGGGAAUUUUGGACAAUGGACGCAAGUCUGAUCCAGCCAUGCCGCGUGCGGGAAGAAGGCCUUCGGGUUGUAAACCGCUUUUGUCAGGGAAGAAAAGGUUCUGGUUAAUACCUGGGACUCAUGACGGUACCUGAAGAAUAAGCACCGGCUAACUACGUGCCAGCCGCCGCUGUAAAAC
rnacentral:rRNA from 1 species